rnacentral:rRNA from 1 species
GGUAGUGGCAAUAAAUAACAAUGCAGGCGCUGGACAAGAGUCUUGUAAUUGGAAUGAGUACAAUUUAAACCCCUUAACGAGUAACAAUUGGAGGGCAAGUCUGGUGCCAGCAGCCGCGGUAAUUCCAGCUCCAAUAGCGUAUAUUAAAGUUGUUGCAGUUAAAAAGCUCGUAGUUGGAUCUAGGGACGCGCAUUCACAAGCGUCGCGCGUCGUCGGGUCAAACCGGCGGCGCGUCGGCGUUGCGGGCUCGGUCCGCUGGAGGACCAGCGUGUCAACCGGCCCGCCCGUCCCCUCCUUCUGGAUUCCCGUUCCUGCCAUUGAGUUGGUGGGGACGUCACAGGGGGCCGCGCGUCGGCGGUCAAAAACCGGCGUGCGGUCCCUGGGGCCCAGAUCGUUUACCGUGAAAAAAUUAGAGUGUUCAAAGCAGGCAGACAUCAACCAUCUGCCACCGAAUACAUUAGCAUGGGAUAAUGGAAUAGGACCCUGUCCUCCUAUUUUCAGUUGGUUUUCGAGGACCAGGGUAAUGAUUAAUAGGGAUAGUUGGGGGCAUUAAUAUUUAAUUGUCAGAGGUGAAAUUCUUGGAUUUAUGAAAGAUUAACUUCUGCGAAAGCAUCUGCCAAGGAUGUUUUCAUUAAUCAAGAACGAAAGUUAGGGGAUCGAAGACGAUCAGAUACCGUCGUAGUCUUAACCAUAAACGAUGCCGACCAGCGAUUAGGAGACGUUGAAUACAAAACACCACCAUCGGGCGGGUCGUCCCUGGCCGGUCGUCCGUCGCGGCAACGCGGCGGGCGGCCGGUGGGGGCGGUCCGUUUCCCCGAUGGCCCGGUGAAUGACUCCCCUAGCAGCUUGUGAGAAAUCAUAAGUCUUUGGGUUCCGGGGGGAGUAUGGUCGCAAGGCUGAAACUUAAAGGAAUUGACGGAAGGGCACCACCAGGAGUGGAGCCUGCGGCUUAAUUUGACUCAACACGGGGAAACUUACCAGGUCCGGACAUAGUAAGGAUUGACAGAUUGAUAGCUGUGAUGCCCUUAGAUGUUCUGGGCCGCACGCGCGCUACACUGAUUAAUCCAACGAGUCCGCUUCAAUCGAGGCGUGGCGCGGCGGGGCGGGUCAAACCGUUCCGUCGUCGUCGCUGUCCUCGAUCGCGCCUGGGCCGAUAGGUCCGGGUAAUCUUUGCAAAUUUAAUCGUGCUGGGGAUAGAUCAUUGUAAUUAUUGAUCUUCAACGAGGAAUUCCUAGUAAGCGCGAGUCAUCAGCUCGCGUUGAUUACGUCCCUGCCCUUUGUACACACCGCCCGUCGCUCCUACCGAUUGAAUGGUCCGGUGAAAUCCUCAGAGCCAUGGCCUCUACGCAAUCCGGGCAACCGGGUUGUGAGGUCUCACGCGUUGUAAAAGGCGCGUGUCCUGUGGCGAAGUCGAUUGAACCUUACCAUUUAGAGGAAGGAG